UGCUCCAACUAAAUUCAUGGCUGUGCCUAGUUUGGCUGGGCCUGUUAUCACCGAAUCUGUGGCCUUUCCUGCCUUGGAUGCUAUAGGGAUGAGAGGGGACACGUCUCCAGUGAGCUUUUGGUGGGUAUGGCGCCCCAGCAUGUGGCUUCGAGAGAAAGAAGUUCUGGAGCCUGAAGCUCUGCGCGGCUGCAUCUCUGGAGGAGGUGGUGCAAAAUCGUGGUCCAUCCAGGCUGUUCGGCUUUCCCUGAGGCCAUCACAAGAAAGGAGAGCAAACAAGGAUGAGGUCUCAACUCUCCCCGUCCCAACCAGCAGAUGGCACUGCCAGCCUGAAGGGACCUCAUUUGGAGACUUGUUGAGUCCUUAGUAGAGUGUGUGUUUCCUACAGCCCAACGGCUUCCAGCUGUUAGAGACUGACACACGCCUUAUACACCUGCCCCUGCAGCAGCCCAAUAGAGGCCCUGCUGAUGAGCAACUUGCCCCUGACGUGAAAGAACCCAGGAUGGGGUUCAGCUCUUUCUUUUCUUGGGUCUGAGUGUGACUGCUCUCCCCGGACAGCUCUGUGGAGGUUGCAUACCUAUGCAGGGACUCUGGAGAAGGACAGUCGGUCUCUCUUCCAGAAGCCACCCACAGCGGCCAAAACAAGAAUCCAGGUGUCUGGGUCAGAGGCCUUGGAAUGGCCAAAUGGCCUCAGAGCAGAGUCUGAAUCAGAGGAUUCUGCUCCAACCAGGAAAGAACCUCUGAGCUGGGCUCGUGGUGGGGAGAUAUCUGGGGGAAGCCUGAGUCAGUUUGGGUGCAUUGGGCAACUCCUAAGUAUAGCCCAAAAGUGAGAAAAUAAAGCCUCCUUUUGAAAAUCCAACACAGGGCUCCCAGGCUGUGCCUGACGCGGUGGAGAUAAGGCUGAAAGUUAGCAGGGGCCAGACCAGGCUGCAAAGUGGUUCAGGUUCUGCAAGUUAACCUGGGCCCAUCUGUGGUUAGGAACAGCCAUUCGAAGGCAGGCUGAAAGAGGCAUUGUUGGAAAUGGGAUUGAGAGUAGGCGGUCUGUGGGGUGUGACGAAAGGGCUCUGUGGCUGUGAGAUGGGCCAGGGAUGGGAUUGGAGAAGGCUGCUGCGGGCAAGGAGAUGAGAGAGAAGAGGGUACCCAGGUUGAUGCUCCAGUGCUGCCAGGUAGUCUGGAUGGAUGAACCACAUUCCCCAAGGAGGUCUCCAGGGUUCCCCAGGGGCUGGCUGGUGGCCUCUCUGAGCAGCACAAAACUCAGCCUCUGGGGCAAAGUUAUUUCCGUUACUUUUAACACCAUAGGCAGACAGGCUGCUUGAGGAACCAAGCCAAUGCUGGUGGGGAGAAUCAUCUGAGUGUAAGGAGCUGGCAGAGGAGAAUGACGUCCUAGCCAUCUCUCUGAGGUUUGGAACAGGAGACAGGAAAGGCAGGAAGCCCAGGCAUCCUCACUGCACCUUAAGGGACAACCUCAGCCCUCAUCUCUAGCCAUGCAUUUGUAUCCAGACGGUCCAGCCUUGGCUCCUUCUCCAUCUGGCACAUCCUUGCAGCUCCUGACCUCUUCUUGUCCACUGUUCACACCACACGCACUUGGGUGCACCAUGUUCACACUGCACUUAGCCACAAGCCCAAGGACAGAAACUUCUGAGGUCGCCUUGUUCUUAUGCCACCAGAUCCCUACCUCCUCACUGAGCCCCAUGUGCCAUGAACACCUUGGUCCUGUCCUUGCCAAUGGGCAGGUGCACACAUGCCCCCCCCCCUCUCUCUCUCUCACACACACACACACACACACACACACACACACACACACACACUACACCUACCUUGAUCAGAAGACAGAAAAGGGGCAGGAAAGUGGCCGGUAGCUUUUCAGUCAGAGAAGCUGGACCAAUUGCAGACCCCGCCCCCUCCUCUGCACCCAGAGGCCAGCCAUGUGGCCUGGCUCAGAGACCUCUUUUCCCUGGGUCCUCUGGGGAGGGAGAGGGGCUUUCAUUCAACCUCCCAGUCACAGUCCACAAGCUGAGGGGCCUGUCACCUCUCUCCUGACUUGUCCCCUCUAGCGACAUCCCCAGCGGCUGGGCUGGGCUCUGGGCAGGGAAGAUCUGGCUGGAGAGUGGGUGGCAGUGAAUGGCUGCUCUGAGUCUCUGGAAUCCUACAGAGUUAUGGGAGUCAGCCAGCUGAGCUGCCCUGAACACAGGGCCACGCAGGGAGGGGGAUGCCCUGGUGUUCCACCUAACCCUUGACUGGCCCCUUGAGAGGUAUCGCCAGUAAGAGAGAACAGGGUUACUCCAAUGAUGAUGCCAUUGUUUGCCCCACGCAACUUCCCUCUGCCCUCCCUCUGCACCCCCCUUCCAGAAGUCUGGUGACCCUGGAGCUACCUGUGCCCAUGCCCCUGAGUUCUUGCCUCAAGUUGCAAUUUUUGAGUAUGCAUCUAUACCCUUCAAAACCAUUCUCUGAGAUCCCAUUUGCUCCAGACAGAUCCUAGACUAAGACUCAGGCUGGCCCUGGCCCAGACCUCAAAGAAAUCCACAAAUCCACCCAAGCUGGCUCUGGUGAGGCAGAUUCUCAGCAGCCCCUGGCCACUGGACUGGAAUAGGUACCCUUUCCUGUGUGCCCCAGCACCAGGCUGGCUUUGUCACACAAUGGUGUAAUAAGGGACCGUGGUGGGAAGAGCCACCACUGGCUAGUUACUUACUUUGUGCCAGGCACUGAGCCAGGCUCAGGGAACUCAGAGUCUGCUCAGGAAGACAGAUAUGUAAGCAGAUUCCUCACAGUAUUAGCCACAGAGUACGUGACAGGGACAUCCCCCAGACACUCACUCUGACCCAGGAGCUAAGCUAAACAUUCUCCGGGCAUGUCUCCUAAUCAUCACCUUGUCGCUUGCUUUUUGCCAAUGAGGACACUGUACCCCACAACACUGUGGGUCCUAUGUACUACGCUCCUUGGCGAAUGACCUUCUGGCUUGGCCAAUAGAACUUUCUGUGAUAAUGGAAAUGUUCUAUAUCGCCACUGCCCAAUAAAAUGGCCACUAGCCACAGGUGGCUCCUGA